UACGUAGGGGGCAAGCGUUGUCCGGAAUCAUUGGGCGUAAAGAGCGUGUAGGCGGUCCGGUAAGUCGGCUGUGAAAGUCCAGGGCUCAACCCUGGGAUGCCGGUCGAUACUGUCCGACUAGAGUACGAGAGAGGGAGGUAGAAUUCCAUGUGUAGCGGUGAAAUGCGUAGAUAUAUGGAGGAAUACCAGUGGCGAAGGCGGCCUCCUGGCGCGAUACUGACGCUGAGGUGCGAAAGCGUGGGGAUCAAACAGG
rnacentral:rRNA from 1 species